rnacentral:misc_RNA from 1 species
GAUGAAGAACGCAGCGAAAUGCGAUAAGUAAUGCGAAUUGCAGAAUUCCAGUGAGUCAUCGAGUCUUUGAACGCACAUUGCGCCCCCUGGUAUUCCGGGGGGCAUGCCUGUCCGAGCGUCAUUGCUGCCCUCAAGCACGGCUUGUGUGUUGGGCCCCGUCCUCCGAUCCCGGGGGACGGGCCCGAAAGGCAGCGGCGGCACCGCGUCCGGUCCUCGAGCGUAUGGGGCUUUGUCACCCGCUCUGUAGGCCCGGCCGGCGCUUGCCGAUCAACCCAAAUUUUUAUCCAGGUUGACCUCGGAUCAGGUAGGGAUACCCGCUGAACUUAAGCAUAUCAAUAAGCGGAGGA